rnacentral:rRNA from 1 species
AUGAACGCUGGCGGCGUGGAUAAGGCAUGCAAGUCAUGGGGACUUUUGUAGCAAUACAAAGGUAACCGGCGAACGAGUUAGUAAUACCUUGGUACGUACCCCGAAGUCUGGCAUAGCUCACCGAAAGGUGGGGUAAUUCCAGAUAGUCUCGCAAGAGUAAAGUCGCAAGACGCUUUGGGAGCGGCCUAGGUCCUAUCAGCUUGUUGGUGAGGUAACGGCUCACCAAGGCUACGACGGGUAGGGGGUGUGAGAGCACGAUCCCCAACGACGAGACUGAGACACGGCUCGUACACCUACGGGUGGCAGCAGUCAAGAACAUUCGACAAUGGGCGAAAGCCUGAUCGAGCGACGCCGCGUGCAGGAAGACGGCCUUCGGGUUGUAAACUGCUUUUGCGUGGGAAAAAAUUUGAUUGUACCACGAGAAUAAGGGGUUGCUAACUCUGU